rnacentral:miRNA from 10 species
UAUGUCUGUGUGUAUAUAUAUGUAUGUGUGUAUAUAUGUAUACAUAUAUACACACAUACAUAUAUCUGUAUAUAUGUAUACAUAUAUACACACACAUAUAUGUAUAUAUGUAUACAUAUA